UGCAGUCGAACGAGAAAGUCACCUUCGGGUGACGAGUACAGUGGCGAACGGGUGAGCAACACGUGGGCAACCUGCCCCUGGGUUGGGGAUAACACUUCCAACGAAGUGCUAAUACCGAAUGACAAGGCGAGUUGAUGACUCGUUUUUAAAGGUGGCCUCUACUUGUAAGCUGCCGCCUAGGGAUGGGCCCGCGUCGUAUUAGCUUGUUGGUAGGGUAAUGGCCUACCAAGGCGACGAUGCGUAGCCGGCCUGAGAGGGUGAACGGCCACACCGGCACUGAGAUAAGGGCCAGUCUCCUACGGGAGCCAGCAGUCUAGAAAUUUGCACAAUCGCCGAAAGGCGGAUGCAGCGACACCACGUGGAGGAUGAAGCCCCUCGGGGUGAAAACUCCUGUCAGAAGGGAAGAAGGCGCGGGCGUUAAUACCGCUCGUUGCUUGACGGUACCUUCAGAGGAAGCUCCGGCUAACUACGUGCCAGCAGCCGCGGUAAUACGUAGGGAGCGAGCGUUGUUCGGAUUUACUGGGCGUAAAGGGCACGUAGGCGGGUAUGCAAGGCGGUUGUGAAAUCCUCUGGCUCAACCAGAGAACUGCAGCCGAAACUGCACACCUUGAGUCCAGCAGAGGGAAUCGGAAUCCCAGGUGUAGCGGUGGAAUGCGUAGAUAUCUGGGAGAACAUCAGUGGCGAAGGCGGAUUCCUGGGCUGGUACUGACGCUGAGGUGCGAAAGCUAAGGGAGCAAACAGGAUUAGAUACC
rnacentral:rRNA from 1 species